rnacentral:tRNA from 1 species
GCCCGGCUGGCUCAAUCGGUAGAGCACGAGACAAUUGACCUCGUGGUCGUGGUUUCGAGUACCACCUAGGUUU